ensembl:lncRNA
GGACUGCUCUAGAGUCUUAAAACCUGCACUCCUGUGCACAUCUAUGCCUUCUCUAUCAAAAUGUAGAGUUUCAGGAAAAUUGAAGAAUUUUUUUUUUUCGUCCAGUCAUUUUAAAUCUGUAGGCUGGUUUAAUCCAAACUGAAUGAAUCUAAACGAGUUUUUUGUACAGAAUCGUAAAAUUUGAGUAAGAUUAAUAUUUACCAAAGCUUAAUGUUAAGUGUUAUAACGGAUAUAUUUGAGUGGGUUUAUGUUGUAAAAUUAGUCUAGAUAUCUUGGUUAACUGGUAACUUAUUUAGCAACUGCUACAUAUUUUAAACAGUUAACUUUUAGUACAAUAUACAUGUUUAUUAAUUGGUGUUAGUUUAGUUAGCUUGCUUUAGUUGGUAACAUAUUCCCCAUUGACAAAUCUGCAGACACAUUCUGCUCAUCUGAUUUCAGAGUCUCCAAACACUGCAGCUGACUUCUGAUUCACCGGAGACAGCCUUGGAGGAGAAAUGGUCAGAUAGCAAAUGAUGCCAUUCUUCUGGAAAACUGGUCUUUAAAGAACAGUCAUUAAUCAGUGAAAACUGUUAUUAUAUUUUUACAGGAUCCUCUGUUACCAGACCCAACAAUUCAUCUGAAGGACUGUGAAAAUAUGAACCCUUUGAACAACCAGUGACAGUUUCCACAUGAUAAAAUAGAAAGGUCAUGGCAGAGGAUGAUAGGGGUAUUGAUAUUGCGCUGAAAUUAUCCUGCUGUACUCACUGUUUCACACAUACAGUUGUGGUCAAAAGUUUGCAUCACAUUGCAGAAUAAUAAAGUUAUAUAAGUCUGGCUUGAUGCAGACAUCCCAACCUGCAAAAAGUCAUUUCAGGGAGGUAUCCCGAAGCCAACCCCCCCCCCCAAAAAAAAGGGGGGAAGGAGGACAAGGAUAUGACAUUUCACCACAGAACAUGACUUUACUAAAAAAUAUAAAAGCAUAAAAUAUUAUUUCUAUAAGCUAUAGGCCUGUGCAAUUAUUCGUUAAUUAUGUUUAAAUAUGUAGAUUACUUUUACUAUUUAUAUAAGCUGCUUAUACUAUUUAUGUAAACUGCUUUUAUUUAUUUUCCAUUGCACUCUCCCUCUGCCAUUGUGCUCCUGUUUCUAGAUAGACAUAACUGAUUAAUUUGGUUCGGGAGAAGAGAUAAAAGCCCGCCCACACUGACAAUUGAUUGGUUGAUUUGCCGAAACAGGCCAAUCAGGAUGCUCUCUGUCUUACGUGCGCUUCGCACACACGCACACUAGCACACACACGCAAGGUCUCUCGCUCCCUCUCCCUCUCUGCCGUGCGCGCGCUACACGAUUUGAAACACAGUCUCUUCUUUGCGCGCUCUUGCUCGCUCGCUCUAGAUUCCGGGAGAUUCUAACUAAUUUGCGGGCAUCAGGGAGCCGCUAUCAAUAUGCGGGAGACUCCCGGGACUUCCGGGAGACUUGGGAUGUCUGCUUGAUGAAGCUAUUUAAUUUAACAGAUGUUUACAUUUAGUCGGCUAGUCAGAAUUUUAGCUGAUUAAAUAAAACAAAUAUGAACCAGUUUCUUUUUGUGAUUAGUGUUCCAUGAGUCCUUUAUCCUGAACAGUUUAAAUGCCCGCUUUUCCUAAGAAAAAUCCUCCAGAUCUUUCACUUUCUCAGGUUUUCCAGCAUCUUUUGCAUAUUUGAACCCUUUCCAGCAAUGAAUGACAAUAGUGAGGACAAUUGAGGGACUCGUACACAACUAUUUCAAAGAUAAACACAUUUAUUGAUUCUCCAGUAAGCAACACGAUGCAUGAAGAGACGGUGUGAACUACCUGAAUUGGAUGAUCAGGGAAAACUACUAAAUUUUUUUUAUGCUUAUUUUCUGAAAAAAUGUUUUAUGUAGCUUCUGAAGGACACUACUAAAUGAACAGAUAUGAUCUUUAAACAAAACAAUAAAGAUUUACUCAUCAUCCUGUUCAAAAUGUACACCCCCAACUCUUAAUGUACUAUUGUGUUUUUUCUGGAGCAUCAGUGAAUAAUGUUUUUACUUUUUUUUUUAAAUCGUUGUGUAUGAGUUUUUCCUUAGAGUGAAGAGAUGGAUCUCAAAAUUAUGUCAUUGUCAGAUAAGGGCCAAAUAUGUAGAAGAUGCUGGAAAACCAAAGAAUUUGCGGGACUUGGAGGAUUUUACU